rnacentral:rRNA from 1 species
AUUGAACGCUGGCGGCAGGCCUAACACAUGCAAGUCGAGCGGUUGAAGGGAGCUUGCUCCUGGAAUCAGCGGCGGACGGGUGAGUAAUGCCUAGGAAUCUGCCUGGUAGUGGGGGAUAACGUCCGGAAACGGGCGCUAAUACCGCAUACGUCCUGCGGGAGAAAGGGGGGGAUCUUCGGACCUCACGCUAUCAGAUGAGCCUAGGUCGGAUUAGCUAGUUGGUGGGGUAAAGGCCUACCAAGGCGACGAUCCGUAACUGGUCUGAGAGGAUGAUCAGUCACACUAGAACUGAGACACGGUCCAGACUCCUACGGGAGGCAGCAGUGGGGAAUAUUGGACAAUAGGCGAAAGCCUGAUCCAGCCAUGCCGCGUGUGUGAAGAAGGUCUUCGGAUUGUAAAGAACUUUAAGUUGGGAGGAAGGGCAGUAAGUUAAUACCUUGCUGUUUUGACGUUACCAACAGAAUAAGCACCGGCUAACUUCGUG